rnacentral:rRNA from 1 species
AUACAGAGGGUGCGAGCGUUAAUCGGAAUUACUGGGCGUAAAGCGCGCGUAGGCGGCUACUUAAGUCAGAUGUGAAAUCCCCGGGCUCAACCUGGGAACUGCAUCUGAUACUGGGUAGCUAGAGUUUUGGAGAGGGAAGUAGAAUUUCGGGUGUAGCGGUGAAAUGCAUAGAGAUCUGAAGGAAUACCAGUGGCGAAGGCGACUUCCUGGCCAAAAACUGACGCUGAGGUGCGAAAGCGUGGGUAGCAAACGGGAUUAGAAACCCCAGUAGUCC